UACGAAGGGGGCUAGCGUUGCUCGGAAUCACUGGGCGUAAAGGGUGCGUAGGUGGCGAGGUAAGUCGGAUGUGAAAGCUCGGAGCUCAACUCCGAAAUGGCAUUGGAAACUACCUUGCUCGAGGGUUGGAGGGGGGACUGGAAUGCUUGGUGUAGCAGUGAAAUGCGUAGAUAUCAAGCGGAACACCAGUGGCGAAGGCGAGUCCCUGGACAACUCCUGACACUGAGGCACGAAAGCUAGGGGAGCAAACAGG
rnacentral:rRNA from 1 species